AGAGUUUGAUCCUGGCUCAGAACGAACGCUGGCGGCAGGCUUAACACAUGCAAGUCGAGCGCCUCGCAAGAGGAGCGGCAGACGGGUGAGUAACGCGUGGGGAUGUGCCUGGUGGUACGGAACAACUCAGGGAAACUUGAGCUAAUACCGUAUAAGCCCUUAGGGGGAAAGAUUUAUCGCCACCAGAUCAACCCGCGUUGGAUUAGCUAGUUGGUGAGGUAACGGCUCACCAAGGCGACGAUCCAUAGCUGGUCUGAGAGGAUGAUCAGCCACACUGGGACUGAGACACGGCCCAGACUCCUACGGGAGGCAGCAGUGGGGAAUAUUGGACAAUGGGCGCAAGCCUGAUCCAGCCAUGCCGCGUGUGUGAUGAAGGCCUUAGGGUUGUAAAGCACUUUCACUGGGGAAGAUAAUGACGGUACCCAGAGAAGAAGCCCCGGCUAACUUCGUG
rnacentral:rRNA from 1 species